rnacentral:tRNA from 1 species
UUAACUGAAACCAAAAAGAGGUAUAUUACUGUUAAUAAUAAUAUUGAAGUUCAAUUCCAGUUAAG